GCCCAUGUGUUGAGCCAGGAGGUCAAAACCUUUUUACACCGUGGUCAAAACCGCUUCCGCCGCUGCCGCCGCAACGAUGCCUUCUGCCCCAUUUUGUGAUGUUAUAGGUUGCCCGAAUGGUAAUGGUAGUACGCAUCCUCAUACCUUCUACCAUUUAGUGCCAAGCGCAGAACCACGACGUUCGCUGUGGAUGACCGCACUGCCGUUUCGAAGGUUUGACGGAAAGAAACAGAAAGUGUGCUCGUUGCAUUUCCGCCGAGAGGAUUACACCAACGACCCUGUGUUAUAUCUGUCGCUCGGUGUAUAUAAAAGACCUUUGCUUAAUGCGGACGCUGUUCCUUCGUUGCUCGGGAAUGAACGGCAAGCAUCGCUACAAAAAGACGAAAUUCGUCAAGUUCCCUGGGCCGACAGCCGUCCCACGAAAACUUGUGCCGAUUUUCCAAAGGGUCAGCACAAGUGUUCAUCGUGCACUCGCGAUAUGGCAACUCAGGCUCACGUGUGCACGAAGAGUAGAGGGGUUCAAGUAACCACACUGGUAAAGCAAACCAGUAGUCGGGGAGUGCAGACUGGUGUGCCAGUCAGCAUGACGCUUGUCUGUCACUGCAAAAGGAGUGGCAGGGGAGCGUGGUGCGGCAGCUCAAGCCGAUGACACAUCGCCAUGUGUCAGCAGAAGUUAUAGUGCUGGCGUCGCUUCCUGCACCAGGGAUGCUCUGAACAACACAUCUCAUGUCGGAAGAAGCUGCCUCAUUUCCUUGCCAGCCUAGAAUCUGCGCGGCGUGCAUUUGCAGUUGUGUAAUGCGAAGCUGUUCUCGGUGUGAUUUUGAAUUGGAAGACACGCUAAGUUUGGUAAAUGGACACAUGCAUCAUUCCGGCAAGCCACAGAUUGGGUGGAGCCACCUGAAAGGCAACUUGGAUUUAGUCGCCACGUCACUCUCUUUAGGGUCGGCACCAAGUGUCCUCCUGGAAGCGAUGCAAGUAAAUGAAAGGCCCUCGUCAUCAACAGCACAGCCUUCUUUGUUUAUGAAAGACCCUCUUACUGCUGCAUAUGACUGCCUUCUGGACUUUUGGACCAAGGUCGUGAUGUUGUGCUCAAAGAAGUUGUGACCAGUUCCAGCAGUCUUGCCUCAUAUGGAAGCAAGACAUUCAAGAAAGGAUGCUUGGCUUUCGAGGGAUCCUAUGGAAAGACGCAAAGCGGCAGUUGUAUUGCCAUAAAAUGCCAUAAAAAAGGCAGUGCUGACAGUGCUUUAAAAAGGAGUGGCUGUCUGGUUCUUCAGAAUCCGUAAAGUCAUAGUUGUAUAAUUCA
rnacentral:lncRNA from 1 species